GACGAACGCUGGCGGCGCGCUUAACACAUGCAAGUCGAACGGAAAGGCCUGCUUUCCCUUGUGGAUUGCGGGUACUCGAGUGGCGAACGGGUGAGUAACACGUGAGUGAUCUGCCCCCAACUUGGGUAUAAGCCUGGGAAACUGGGUCUAAUUCCCGAUAGGACUGCAGGGUGGUGCCUGUGGUGGAAAACGAUUUUCUAGUGGUUGGGGAUGAGCUCGCGGCCUAUCAGCUUGUUGGUGGGGUAAUGGCCUACCAAGGCGGCGACGGGUAGCCGGCCUGGGGGGGUGGACGGCCCCAUUGGGACUGAGAUACGGCCCAGACUCCUACGGGAGGCAGCAGUGGGGAAUAUUGCACCAUGGGCGGAAGCCUGAUGCAGCGACGCCGCGUGGGGGAUGACGGCCUUCGGGUUGUAAACUCCUUUCGACCGCGAGGAAGCCACCUGGUUGGAAGGGUGGUGACGGUAGUGGUAGAAGAAGCACCGGCUAACUACGUG
rnacentral:rRNA from 1 species